GGCACAGCUGGGGGCCUUGUGUGGGUGCGAGCGUGUGAAUGUGUGUCGCUCGGGUCCAUGCUCAUGCACACACCCACAUGCCCGCACUC
rnacentral:pre_miRNA from 1 species